ACGUUUCAGUAAUGAAGGUUGUGAGGAUGUGUCUCAGACACUGAUAAGGAGAUUUAGUUACACAAGAUUUGAGGAACUCUGCUUGAUUCUGAUGACUCACUUGCCAUUUUAUGGUGACUGAAAGAGAACACCACAAACCAUGUUCUCAGAAACUGAAUGCUGGUCCAUGGAUCCCUGGGGAGAUAUGGAAGUGACACCAAAUCAGAGACCACUUCUGUAUUUUAGCAGAUACAGGAAACUGCAAGAAAAUUCAGCUCUAGAUUCAAGGAUUUUCCAAAAGUAUUGCACUGAUGUUAAGCACUGGUCCCCAGCACCGAGUGGCAAUUUAUCAUCUUUCUUGGCAGGCUUCCUACUUCGUCCUGCACCUGCCUCCUUGAAAGAAAACAAGACAUCAGAUACUUAUUCAAAUAAUGCAGUAGCUGAUCAGCAGAGUAUCUACACAAUGGACAUGGAAGGAUCACAUGCAGAGCCGAUGACACUCCUCAGAGUAGAUGCAGAGGAAAACAGGUGCAAGAUCUUAGCCCAUCAAAAUCUGGGAAGCAGAAUGAAUAGGCUCAAAGCCCUACUAAAGACUUAUUUAUAGCAAUGCCUUAUGACAGAUUUGACUGAAACUGAAUCCAAGCCAGAGAACUGGGACCCCUGUUUUAUUGGGCAAUUGUGGCCUCUAAGACUUGGGAUGGUACGGGUAAGCUGAGGACUGCUUCCUUAAAGCCUUCUUAACUUUUAUAUACGGUGUUUACAUGCUCAUAAAAAUGCAUCAGCUUGUAUAUAGGAUAGUAAGUGCUACCAAUUCCCUCAAUAAACUGCUGGUUUAUCCCAGUUUUCUAGUUCUUUUUCUUAUCUGAUCUCAGCUCAUGUGUACGUUUUUUUUUUUUCUCUGAUCUCUCAGUUUGUCUUAGUUACACAUCUCAUGGCUUGCUGAAUGAACACUGCCCUUGUUUUGCACUUGUUUCUGAAGGUUUUAUUGCUUGAUUUUGAGACCUAAAUGCUCUUGGCUAAUUAAUAAUGCAAUUACUGUGGUUUUUUUUUCCUCCAAUAUUACAUAAAUUUGUGUACACCCUGCCUCUGGAUUUAACUAUGGCAAUAUACUUAUACAGAUCAGAUAGUGUGUUUAUAGACACACUACAUUGGGGAAAUUUGGGUGAAACCUAUGAGAUACUGCAUAAAGAUAUUUUGUGUGCAUAUUCUUACAAUUUCCAAAUCAAUCAAAAAUUUCUAAAAUUUCACUGAGUAGGAGUUUUAUUUUUCUGUCAGUGAAAGGAAAACCUAGGAAGACCCUACUGACACAAACAUUCAGGUUACCAUGCAAUUACUACUGGUGAAAACUCUGAAAAAAUAAAGAUCUGGUAUAAAUUGCAACUGGAAAUAUUACUCAUCUGUCAGGCAUUUGUGCAGG